GUGAGUGGAUCUCGUUGGAGAUUCCUUUGUAGCUGAGGCCUUGUAAGGUCUUUUGUUGUCAGCCAGGAAGUUUCACUGAUACUGAAAAGCCAAAUCCAGAAGCCUCUUCUAUAUUGCCAAUCUCUUGAGCUGGAGGCAGUUGGAGACUGUAUUGCUUUAAGGUCUACAAGUGCAACACGUGAAGAAGUAGGCUGUGAGGAGUCUUCAGUCUUGUCCUGCAUCUGACUUGUAUGCAUGUAAAUGAGUUUUACAAGAAACACUAGAAAACUUUCUCUAGCCUUUUCUGCUUAUCUUUUGAGUGUCCAUAGCAUUGUCCUAUUUUAAGAACUAGCUAAGUACAUAUAUUGCCCAGGAAUUAGCUUUUGGGUAUUUAGUGGUGCUUAGUAUUUUUGAGGCCUCUGCAUUUGCCCAUAGAUCAACAAAAUGGGUACAUCAGCAAAAUUACUAGUGGGAUAACAAAAAUUUAUCCAAGAAUACCUGGAAAACAAAUCAGAUACUGGGUGAAAACAAACAAGUGUCAAUUUUUGUUGAUGAUCUAUUAUCUUAAGCACAAUAGCAGAGUUUGUGGAGUGUGAACUGAAUGAGUGGAGAAUAAAAACUUCACAUGCUAUUCUCCAUGUAAUUAAUUGGAAAUGUUGUGAAUUAGUGUUCUAUUAUGCAAGACGUUUUAAAAAUCAAUGAUGCCACAGAUGAUUCACUUAUGAGUCACUUGUAAAACCAUGAAAACCUCCAAUAAAUUUCUGAUUUAGUAAUUGUAUUUAUGAAUUAUGAUCAAACUCUCUGAACACAUGAAUAUGGUUAUCUUAAAUUAGAAGGUCAGCCACAGAUACAGUGAAGUUAUAUGAGGAAAUCUGUAUUUUCAUAUUGUUGAUUUCUCAAGACAUUUACAGAGAAAGCUGCAGUACUCCCCAUGUUUAUCUUGAUCUGAGCCUUCCCAAACUGAAUGAACUGUUACCUCAUUCAGAAGCAGCAAACCAAAGGCUUAGCAUAACAAUUAAAGCAAUCUUUUUUUCUCUAAUAAUGCAGUAUUAAUACUGAUUUAUUUCUGUGGGUAAAACAUAGGCAAACAGAUGGGACUUAAAUUGUUUCUUAAGGUCAACAGACUUCAGAGAAAUGAGAUUCAUGAAGUUUCUCUCUGCUAACAUCUGCCAAUGAAGCUUGGAAACAAGAGUAUUUCCCAGCUAAUGAUAGGACUUGAUGACAGCAGCAGCUCUCUCAAGUAGCCAUCAUUUGUACCAUUAAUGGACUUUAAUUUGGCACUUGUAAUUGUAUCUGGAACUCUAAAGUCAAGUAUACACUUACUUAACUGGUUAGGUGUCAUAAGCAUGCAGGAAACCAUACUGUGAAUAUUGUACAAUCAUGAUUUCUUCUUUACUAUUGCUUACCUACUUCGCAAUCUGGAUUGCAGAGAUUUUUUGCCCUUUAAAAUGAUGAACAAAAUGAAAGAAACUACAGGUCUGAUCUAAUUUUGAAGUCUAUAUGUCAAUAAACUUCAUGUUCAUCUGAGGAUAAGGCUUGAGUUCACAGAUUGGUACAUUCAAAAUACAAAUUCUUGGGGGAGGUGGGGAAAAAGAAACCUUAUUCUACUCCUUUGUCAUGGGAGUAGUUCUAAAUUGUAGGUGAUCUGCAUGCGAGGAGGGAACGUGAUUGUGACAGGCUCUGUGACUUACUGAGGCUGAAUCUUCAUUUUAAAAUUAAAGGUAGUCAUAAGUCAUAUGCUACAGUUGCAAUGUCUAGUAAAUACAUUGACCAAACUCUGGUUGCUUUUGAGCUCAGUGUUAGCAAGCAAAUC